GAGCAAGACACAGGGUCAGAGGGCAGGGCCAGUAGCACCCACAACCCACCCUGGAAGGAGCUAUGCAGGGGCCAUGGGAAGUUGGAGAGCUGUACGCUACCUGCUGACCCAUGGGGCAGGAGCCCAGGUCAGCAGCCAGGAUGAAGCCCAAGAUGCCUGGGUUUCCCUGGCUGCCAGCAGGCAUUGCCGGUGUGCCUUGUAGGAGGCAGUGGAGGGCUGGGGGUCAGGGUUGUCAGAGCCAGGCCCAAGAAUAGCUCUAACAAUAGGGUAGCAUGGGGCGGUGUGUGGGCUGCUGCUGUCACAGGAAAUUAGAGGCUGUCGUUGGCUUUUGGGAACAGGAGGAGCCUAAAGGGAGCACAGCCUGAGCUCCUCCCUGCUGCCUCCCACUGGGGCAGCCCACAGGCUUCACUCGGCCUGCCCAGAGACUGAGAGUGCUCCAUCUGUGUCUUGGCAGGGGAUCAUGAGCAAGCCAGGGCAGGGAAGGAGUGUGUACAAACGUCCCUGGUACCCACAGUGCUCUUUGACAUGGGACACCUGGCAGGUAUGAAGGAGGAGGAGGCCUGAUGUCGGUACCGAGAGCCCACUGUCACUAAAGAGCAGAGCACACCACAUACUGCACUGCCAGAAGCCACCAGACACAGGCAGUGCUAGAAAACACCAGGCAUACAAAAAAGGCACCUAAGCAUCAAGACACGGGAAGAGUCCAGAAGAGGGGGACAGGGGACAAAACCGAAACACAGGCACAAGUGCCUCUGGACUACUCUGCAAGGCUGAGUCCGGCCUGGCUUGGACCUCAAAGGGGCUGGACCAAACCAAGGACCCUGCAUCAGGGAACCUUCAGGUGUGGACCUCCAGGAUUCUCCGCCCAGCUCUAGGCCACCUCAGCAUCACAAGGGACACAGGGAUAUGGGCAGAGCCUGAGGCAGCAGGAGGGCCCGGGCUCCUGCCUGUCUGAGAGGCUCCCCGCCCUCUGUACAGAGCUGGGAGGAGAGCAGCCCUGGCUGCCAAGCCUGUUUCUUCUCCAGAAAAGGCAAAAUCCCUGGGACUCACCAGCCGCCUCUCUGGCUCGGGGCCGACCUUCUCCAGGCCUCCCCAUCGCUCCGCCCCCACAGCAUCUUCCCUAAAAGGGUCCAGCUGCCUGGCUCUGCAGCACGGGUGUGGAGACUCUGCAGGAAAUGGCUGGGGGCAGGGGACUGCCUGUGACCUCCAUAUUGGAUCCAGGCCUGGAGUGCUGUCAUGCAGAUCCUGCCUACACUUGGAUGGAGCUGCCAGGCCCCAGGCCCCCACCUCCCUGAUCAACCCAUGGGUCCCGCUGACAGCUGUCCAUCUUACCCAUGGGUCUCGCCGACAGCUGUCCAUCUUACCCACCCAUGGGUCUCGCCGACAGCUGUCCAUCUUACCCACCCAUGGGUCCCGCCGACAGCUGUCCAUCUUAUUUUCUCCUCAUCCUGCAAGCUCCUUGACUCACUCAGGUCAGUUCAUCCUCCCCACACCAACCCUGCUAAACCCACCCCCCACCACACAGGGGCAAUUCUACCUACUCUUGCUUGAACUCACGUGAUCUAAAGCCACCCUGCUCCACCCUUCCCAUGAUGUCACCAGUCUGUCAAAACGCCUGCACUCUUCCUUAGAAGCAGGGCUACCCUUCUUCACCUGACUUCAUAUACUCCAGGACCUGGGCUAACCUGUCUCCACUCACCCCAUAACUGCCCCUUCCACAGCUCCAAGCACCCCUGCUUGGUGACCACAUCUAGCAAUGUGUCCUCUUGACCCCACUGUAGCGUGUUCUACAACUACCCCUCAAAAACCUAGAUCAAAGCUGGACCCUAUCCAAGACCCAGGAAGUGACACCCACCACAGGGGCCAGACUGCUCAGUCACCCACCAUCAAGAUCCACUUUGCCACCCCACCUCCAAUCACCGUGAUUCUUUCUGCCACCCCUGGGCCUCAUCCGCCAGGUACCUCUCUCUCUAUGUUAUCGACAGACACUCACUGGUCCUGCCUCUGUUCUUUUGACCACUGUCAAUCAGAUCUACCCUUUGCAAAGAGGCAAGCCUUACUUUCCCAUUCAAGGGAGACUCCAGACUUCUGACAGCCCUCUGGGGGGUUCUCUUCUUGCCUCCCAACCUCAUUUACUGCUCCUCUGUCCUUACUUCCUGCUCCACAGUGGUCUUGCCAACAUGCACCAGCACCGUACUCCUACCUCAGGGCAUUUGCACAACUUGUCUUUGGUUUUCUGUAGUACCUCAUCAUUUGUAACUCAAAGAUCACCUUCUCAGAUCCCUGACUUUCUGAGUUUGGGGGAUUCCCACUAAGUCCUCUCAAAUGAGCAUCCCUGAUUAUAAGUUUCUCACCAUCAGUAGCACCGAACGGUCACGGCUCACUGCCUGUCCUGUCUUUUUGAGGGAACUCGGUACCUCAUGGGAGCACAGGAGUGUGUUGACUGGAAAGGGGUGAGGGCCUGAAAGAGGAUAGUGCCUACUGCAGGGCGCGCGGAGAGUUGUCAGGGCUGGCUCUGAAUUCUGCUGUCCUCUGUCUCCCUCUGAAGGGAGGGAGCAAUAUAAAGUCUGAGAAAGCCAGCAACAGGGAAAAUGGGAACUCUUGAGACUCUGAACCCGUCUCCUAGCCCACCACAAACACACCACCAAGGAUCGAGGCACAACUGGUCCAAGAACCACUCUUGUCAGAGAUACAUGCCUAGACUGCCGCACCAGUGGCCACAGCACCUGCGGUGUGACUGUGAGAGACAGCUAGACCUCGGGCACUUCUACCCACUCCCUGGCUGCGAAGGAGUGUGGGGCAGAAUUUUCACUACAGUGAGCUCUUGGGGUAACCAGCCUUCCUCCAGGAAAGGACAACUGGCCUGGAGGUGAGCCGUCAGCACCUUGGCCAGCACCAAGCAAGUCAAAGACCUUCAUAGGCACCACCGUCUCCUCCCCUUCCUUCUCUAACCCAGUUGGUCCCCACCAGGUGUCACUUGACAGUAGACACUAAGUUUCUCUGCUCUGUCUUCACUCCCUGCAGUCACACCCUCCCCACCAAGUGGAGCUGCUAGAACAGAAACCAAGUAAUUCAGCAUACAUCCGCAAGAAGGGUUGGCUGCAAACUGCUUAACUGUGGAUCUGACUUCCGAUUUAUGUAGAUGCUCAGCUCUGAAGACACCAGAGGAGCUCACCUGAUUCACAGACCACAGAACCGGGUCGCAGCUCCAGCAUCAUGCUGUGAAGGCGGCGGCCUCUGAGAGGCGUGCAGCAGCGGGAGAGCGAAGUCACCUCCAAGCUAGGAUUCCGCGGAACCCCUUGGCCCGAGUACCUCGGGCGGGCUCCCGACGGCAGGGAGGCUGGCUACCCGAGGAACAGCACGGGACCUGCAGGCAAGCCCGGAGCGCCUCUCCCGCCCUAGCCGCGCAUCCCGCUCAGAA